AGAGUUUGAUCCUGGCUCAGGAUGAACGCUAGCUACAGGCUUAACACAUGCAAGUCGAGGGGCAGCAUGAACUUAGCUUGCUAAGUUUGAUGGCGACCGGCGCACGGGUGAGUAACACGUAUCCAACCUGCCGAUGACUCGGGGAUAGCCUUUCGAAAGAAAGAUUAAUACCCGAUGGCAUAGUUCUUCCGCAUGGUAGAACUAUUAAAGAAUUUCGGUCAUCGAUGGGGAUGCGUUCCAUUAGGUUGUUGGCGGGGUAACGGCCCACCAAGCCUUCGAUGGAUAGGGGUUCUGAGAGGAAGGUCCCCCACAUUGGAACUGAGACACGGUCCAAACUCCUACGGGAGGCAGCAGUGAGGAAUAUUGGUCAAUGGACGAGAGUCUGAACCAGCCAAGUAGCGUGAAGGAUGACUGCCCUAUGGGUUGUAAACUUCUUUUAUACGGGAAUAAAGUGAGGCACGUGUGCCUUUUUGUAUGUACCGUAUGAAUAAGGAUCGGCUAACUCCGUGCCAGCAGCCGCGGUAAUACGGAGGAUCCGAGCGUUAUCCGGAUUUAUUGGGUUUAAAGGGAGCGUAGGCGGACGCUUAAGUCAGUUGUGAAAGUUUGCGGCUCAACCGUAAAAUUGCAGUUGAUACUGGGUGUCUUGAGUACAGUAGAGGCAGGCGGAAUUCGUGGUGUAGCGGUGAAAUGCUUAGAUAUCACGAAGAACUCCGAUUGCGAAGGCAGCUUGCUGGACUGUAACUGACGCUGAUGCUCGAAAGUGUGGGUAUCAAACAGGAUUAGAUACCCUGGUAGUCCACACAGUAAACGAUGAAUACUCGCUGUUUGCGAUAUACAGUAAGCGGCCAAGCGAAAGCGUUAAGUAUUCCACCUGGGGAGUACGCCGGCAACGGU
rnacentral:rRNA from 1 species